rnacentral:rRNA from 1 species
CUACUGGAAACGGUGGCUAAUACCGCAUAACGUCGCAAGACCAAAGAGGGGGACCUUCGGGCCUCUUGCCAUCAGAUGUGCCCAGAUGGGAUUAGCUAGUUGGUGAGGUAACGGCUCACCAAGGCGACGAUCCCUAGCUGGUCUGAGAGGAUGACCAGCCACACUGGAACUGAGACACGGUCCAGACUCCUACGGGAGGCAGCAGUGGGGAAUAUUGCACAAUGGGCGCAAGCCUGAUGCAGCCAUGCCGCGUGUAUGAAGAAGGCCUUC